rnacentral:rRNA from 1 species
GACGAACGCUGGCGGCGUGCUUAACACAUGCAAGUCGAACGGAAAGGCCCUGCUUUUGUGGGGUGCUCGAGUGGCGAACGGGUGAGUAACACGUGAGUAACCUGCCCUUGACUUUGGGAUAACUUCAGGAAACUGGGGCUAAUACCGGAUAGGAGCUCCUGCUGCAUGGUGGGGGUUGGAAAGUUUCGGCGGUUGGGGAUGGACUCGCGGCUUAUCAGCUUGUUGGUGGGGUAGUGGCUUACCAAGGCUUUGACGGGUAGCCGGCCUGAGGGGGUGAGCGGCCACAUUGGGACUGAGAUACGGCCGAGACUCCUAAGGGAGGCAGCAGUGGGGAAGAUUGCACAAUGGGCGGAAGCCUGAUGCAGCAACGCCGCGUGCUGGAUGACGGCCUUCGGGUUGUAAACCGCUUUCGCCUGUGACGAAGCGUGAGUGACGGUAAUGGGUAAAGAAGCACCGGCUAACUACGUG